rnacentral:rRNA from 1 species
AUUGAACGCUGGCGGAAUGCUUUACACAUGCAAGUCGAACGGCAGCACGGGGGCAGCCCUGGUGGCGAGUGGCGAACGGGUGAGUAAUACAUCGGAACGUGCCCGGUCGUGGGGGAUAACGUAGCGAGAGGUACGCUAAUACCGCAUACGAUCUGAGGAUGAAAGCGGGGGACCUUCGGGCCUCGCGCGAUCGGAGCGGCCGAUGUCAGAUUAGGUAGUUGGUGGGGUAAAGGCCUACCAAGCCGACGAUCUGUAGCUGGUCUGAGAGGACGACCAGCCACACUGGGACUGAGACACGGCCCAGACUCCUACGGGAGGCAGCAGUGGGGAAUUUUGGACAAUGGGCGCAAGCCUGAUCCAGCCAUUCCGCGUGCAGGACGAAGGCCUUCGGGUUGUAAACUGCUUUUGUACGGAACGAAAAGGCUCUGGCUAAUACCUGGGGCUCAUGACGGUACCGUAAGAAUAAGCACCGGCUAACUACGUG